AUGGCUCUGGCAUUCCCACCAAAUCCUCCUCCUCCUCCUCCUCAUCUCACUAACACCAAUAAUGGAGACUCACUCUCACUCUGCCACCACAGCCGUCUUCUCCGCUUGUUGAAUGAAUGUACGGACAUGUCUCAGCUGAAACAAAUACACGCUCACACACUGCGCACCACAUCCACCACACACCCACACACCCUCUUUCUCCAUAGCCGAAUCCUCCAUUUCUCAUCCUCAGCCGAUCUCCGCUACGCCUUUCGGGUUUUCCAUCAGAUUCAGAAUCCCAAUUCUUUCGCGUGGAACACCCUCAUCAGGGGUUGUGCUCGAAGCUCUGAGCUCGAAAACCAGGCCUUAUUACUUUACUGUAAAAUGUUAUCACAAGGAGAUCCUAUGCCGGACGAGUUUACGUUCCCCUUUGUUCUCAGAGCUUGUGCUUACUUGUUUGCCUUAUCAAAAGGGGAACAAUUGCACGCUCAUGUUGUUAAGUUUGGAUUUGAUUCAGACGUUUACAUCGGCAAUGGUCUGAUUCAUCUUUAUGCUUCUUGUGGGUGUUUGGAUCAUGCACGUAAGGUGUUUGAGAAAAUGACUGAAAGAAGCAUUGUGUCGUGGAACGUUAUGAUUGAUUCUUUGGUCGGGGCCGGCGAGUUUGAGACUUCGUUGAAAGUGUUUGGUCAGAUGCAGAAGCUGUUUGAGCCUGAUGGGUAUACAAUGCAGAGUAUUAUAAAUGCUUGUGCUGGUUUGGGGGCUAUGUAUCUAGGAAUGUGGGCUCAUGCCUAUGUGUUGAGGAAAUGUGAUAAUGCCGUAGCUAGCAAUUUGUUGGUGAAUUCUUCGUUGGUUGAUAUGUAUUGCAAAUGUGGGUCCUUGGACAUGGCUCUCCAAGUGUUCGAGAGAAUGCCUAAACGCGAUGUGAUUACAUGGAAUUAUAUGAUUCUGGGAUCUGCCAUGCAUGGAAAAGCUGUGGCAGCUUUAAAGUGUUUUGAUCGUAUGAUUAAUACGGAGAGUUGUAAGCCAAAUUCCAUCACAUUCGUUGGUGUUUUGAGUGCAUGCAAUCACAGAGGCAUGGUUAGCAAAGGUAGAAAGUUCUUUGAUAUGAUGGUAAAAGAGUAUAAGAUUGAACCACGAUUAGAGCACUACGGGUGCCUCAUUGAUCUUCUUGCACGUGCCGGUUUCAUUGACGAAGCUUUGAAUUUGGUGUCAUCAAUGCCCAUGAAGCCUGAUGCCGUUAUAUGGAGGUGUCUUCUUGAUGCUUGCAGUAAGCAACCACAUGCCAGUAUUGAGCUAAGUGAAGAAGUGGCCAUGCAGAUCCUUGAGUCUGGAGGAGAGGGCAUUUCUAGUGGUGUUUACGUGCUAUUGUCAAGAGUCUAUGCUUCAGCUAGCCGCUGGAACGACGUUGGAUCAAUUCGGAAAUUGAUGACAGAGGAGGGUAUAGCAAAAGAGCCUGGUUGUAGUUUGAUAGACAUAGACGGUAUUACGCAUGAAUUUUUUGCUGGUGACACAUCUCAUCCCUGUAGUAGAGAAAUAUAUCAUGUCCUGGAUGCGUUGAAUGGAAUACUCAAAUAGUUGCAUGCACCUGCCUGACUAUUCACAGGCACCUAUGGUUAAUUAGAAGAGUAAUGGAAAAUAGCACACAUCCCAGUCUGCGACUUCACUAUGAGCACUAG